GGCUUGGUGGCGUAAUAGUAAUGUGCUCCGUAUUCCUAUGCAAUUCUCAUGUAUCGUUCACGGAAAGUUCGGAGUUCGAUUCUCCGCUGAGCCA